AGGGAAAACUACGUCCACAGAAUUGGUCGAGGUGGUCGGUUUGGCCGGAAAGGUGUGGCUAGUAACAUGGUGACAGAAGAAGACAAGAGGACUCUUCGAGACAUUGAGACUUUCUACAACACCUCCAUUGAAGAGAUGCCCCUCAACGUUGCUGACCUCAUUUGAGGGGCUGUCCUGCUACCUGGCCCUAGCCCAGGGUUCAGUCCUGGGGGCGGGGCUGAGGAACAGCUGGAGGGGGGAGGGAAGGGAGCCAAGGGAUGGACAUCUUGUUUUUGUUUUUUUGUUUUGUUUUUUUUUCUCUCUCUCUCUCUCUUUGAAUAAAUGUCACUUUUUGAGGCA
rnacentral:lncRNA from 1 species